AUUGAACGAUGGCGGCAGGCCUAACACAUGCAAGUCGAACGAGUGGCGGACGGGUGAGUAAUGUCUGGGAAACUGCACGAUGGAGGGGGAUAACUACUGGAAACGGUAGCUAAUACCGCAUACCAUCGGAUGUGCCCCGAUGGGUUUAGCUUGUAGGUGAGGUAACGGCUCACCUAGGCGACGCUCCCUAGCUGGUCUGAGAGUAGGACCAGCAACACUGGAACUGAGACACGGUCCAGCUUCCUACGGGAGGCAUCAUUGGGUAAUAUUGCACAAUUGGCGCAAGCCUGAUGCAGCCAGGCCGCGUGUAUGAAGAAUGCCUUCGGGUUGUAAAGUACUUUCAGCGGGGAGGCGUUACCCGCAGAAGAAGCACCGGCUAACUCCGUGCCAGCCGCCGCGGUAAUAC
rnacentral:rRNA from 1 species